AUACGUAGGGGGCGAGCGUUGUCCGGAAUGAUUGGGCGUAAAGGGCGCGUAGGCGGCCCGGUAAGUCUGGAGUGAAAGUCCUGUUUUUAAGAUGGGAAUUGCUUUGGAUACUGUCGGGCUUGAGUGCAGGAGAGGGAAGUGGAAUUCCCCGUGUAGCGGUGAAAUGCGUAGAGAUUGGGAGGAACACCAGUGGCGAAGGCGACUUACUGGACUGUAACUGACGCUGAGGCGCGAAAGUGUGGGGAGCAAACAGGAUUAGAUACCCUGGUAGUCCACACUGUAAACGAUGAAUGCUAGGUGUAGGGGGUAUCGACCCCUUCUGUGCCGCAGUCAACACAAUAAGCAUUCCUCCUGGGGAGUACGGCCGCAAGGUUGAAACUCAAAUGAAUCGGCGGGG
rnacentral:rRNA from 1 species